rnacentral:lncRNA from 1 species
GUUACUCUCACGCGCCAGUCUGGGUUCAGAUCAGUUCUGUUCUCUGGUCUCCCGAGGCCCUGGGUUUAUGGGGUCCCCCAGACAGAAGCUUCCCCGCCCCCAGCGGGUCUCCACUGAAUCAGCGGCAGGAGUCCUGGAUGAUCCCCCGGUCGUGCGGCCCCUCCCCCUCCUUCCCGACAUGGGCAGCAGCGAUCGCAGACUCUAGGGGAGGGAGCGAUGUUCUCUCCUACCGUUCCAGCCCUCCGAGGCCUUCUGCAAGACAGGGGAAUGUGAUGGAAGCAGGAAAGCCCCAGACAAUAGUUGCAAACAGAAAAGAAAAUGAUUAUAGAAAAUGAUCCUGUCAGAGGAGAGGCCUCAAGGAAGUCAUAACCUUGAUUAAGCAUCGAAUUCUUUCAUGAAUAUGGAGUACUUGCCUUUGACAGCUCUGUCAGUUUGUGAGCUCGACCACAAAGCCUAAUCAGGGUUCAAAGACUGGUGAGAAUGACAACUCAGACUCAGCUAAAGUUGCUGUCAGUUCGGUUUACCACCGUCCUGGCAAAUAAGGAAUACGAAGGAUACACAAGAUGAGGAUGUGUGUCGGGGAGAAAAAGCUGCUGGCGCACUCCAAGUGCCUUGCUGUGGGUGACUGGGAUAAAACUCUUUGUUGAAUGAGUCCCAUGUGGAAUGAAAAAUUAAACACGUCAGAAAAAAAAUAAACAAUGGGCUUGCUGUCUUUUAAAACUUUCAAC